AAAAAAAAAAAAAAAGAAAAAAUUUCAGGAGAGCGAAGAGAGAAAAGAGAGAAGAAACGGUCCUUUGUUAUACAAAUUUAUUAAUGGCGACGGAGGAGAAGCUCCUCCUUUUCCAAUCUUCUUCGUCUCCCAUUUUCAGAGAUCUCGUUGUCUUCUUCUCCAUUGUCUUCUGCUGUUUUGUUUCUGAAAUUGAGUUUCUUUGGUUGAUUAUGACAAGGAAAGAUUAAAUUAGUGGGGGUGAGAAAGAGAUAGAGGGAGUGUGCGCGCGCUUGUGUGAACUGUAAAUGUCUUGUGGAGAAGAGGAGAAGCAAUGGAGUUGUCCAAAAGCUGGAACAGUGAGUUUGCAGAGAGUUGGUUCAAUAGUACGCGAAAUUGGGGAGCCCUGUCUUUCCCAAUCGCCUAUAAAGGUUGUUAUAGCUGUAAGCAGAAUGCUUAAACCAGACAAGUGGCAGGCUACUUUUAACAGUGAUGGGAAAGUUUUUGGUUUUCAGAAAGCACUCAAGUUGAUUGUUUUGGGGGGGGUGGAUCCAUCUAUCAGGGCAGAAGUUUGGGAAUUUCUACUCGGUUGUUAUGCACUAGGCAGCACUGCUGAGUACCGAAAGCAGCUGAGGAGAGCCCGGAGGGAGCGCUACAACGACCUGAUCAAGCAAUGUCAGGUGAUGCAUUCAAGUGUAGGAACUGGUGUACUUGCAUAUGUUGUGGGGUCCAAGGUUAUGGAUAUGAGAACGUCAUCCAAGGAUGAAGAAAGAGGAGAAGCUAAAGUCAGAAAUGGACAAGCUUCUGUUCAUACUACUAACAAAUUUCAGAAUUAUAGUGAUUGGAACAAUAAUUGUACAGAAACAUCUUGUGCAUGUGAAAGAGAAAGUUCUACUGAUUCUGGUGAGCUUCUCAGUAUGAGGGGAAGCACAGACAGCGUGGCAUAUGACUCAUCUUUUUUUUUACCUACUUCUGGCCCUUACAAUAGUGGUUCCCCUGAAAGAGGGGGUGAAGCAAAUGGAUCACAAUAUGUAGCAGAGAGUUUUUUUGAUUUUCCUCCUUUACCUGUCACAGAUUUAUUUGAACGGAAAGGAGAAGAUAAGGAAGCAUGUAGUGAACAUGACACUGAACCUUCAACACAAAAAAAAUUAAGAUCUAAAGGUGACAGAAUGCACAGUUUUCAAAUUAAUAACAACAUAGAGUUAAUUAUGGAAUCAGAUGGUUCACCAUCUAACAAUGUUUCACAUCACAACAACUCUGAAAUUGAAAUAAUUCGUAAUGACGAUAACAAAAGGGUAUUACGGUCCAAUAAUCAGAAUUAUGAAAAAGAACUAGCGAACAUAUUAAGAAUAUCAGAUGUGCUAGAAACACCAUUUUUAAAUGCAGCAACUCAAGGAGGAGCUAACAGUGAAGACAGAAUCUCUGAAUGGCUUUGGACUUUGCACCGAAUAGUUGUUGAUGUGGUGCGAACAGAUAGUCAUCUUGAAUUCUAUGAGAAUAAGAAAAAUUUAGCCAGGAUGUCUGAUAUCCUUGCUGUCUAUGCAUGGGUCGAUCCUGCCACCGGUUACUGUCAAGGUAUGAGCGAUUUGCUGUCUCCUUUUGUUGUGCUCUUUGAGGAUGAUGCUGAUGCAUUUUGGUGCUUUGAGAUGCUUUUGAGGAGAAUGCGUGAGAAUUUUCGGAUGGAAGGACCAACUGGAGUGAUGAAGCAGUUGCAAGCACUGUGGCACAUCUUGGAACUGACAGAUAGGGAAAUAUUUGCACACUUGUCACGUAUAGGUGCUGAAAGCCUCCAUUUUGCUUUCCGAAUGCUGAUGGUUCUUUUCCGUAGGGAGUUAUCUUUUAAUGAGGCUCUUCGGAUGUGGGAGAUGAUGUGGGCUGCUGAUUUCGAUGAAUCCUUGGUCUGUGAUUUAGAGGAGAACUGCCUGGAGGCACUGGUGCUAUAUCUACCAAAUGAUUCUAGAGGGGAAAUGAGAGAAGGAAACACAGAAAAUAUUAAUGGUAGUUCAACUAAUGGUUCACAAAUGAAGCAUGGAAAUAUUGAGCAUUCCAUUUCUGAGGACCCUGCAGUGAAGUCAGCAUCUCAUCCUUUUUGUGGUUUGACGAGGAACUUUUGGUCAAGAAGUGACCACAUGCAGAUUAGCACUAUGGUCUCAUCAACUAAAAAUGGGGAUGAUGAAUUACCAGUCUUCUGUGUGGCAGCAAUUCUUAUCAUGAACCGUCAUAAAAUCAUCAAAGAGACUCGUUCAAUUGAUGAUAUGAUUAAGGUUUUCAAUGAUAAACUGCCAAAGAUCCAUGUCAGAAGAUGUAUACGCACAGCAAUCAAACUUCGCAAGAAGUAUUUUUACAAGGUGAUAAAAAGCAAGAGCCCCGCAGCUCAGAAUGGUGACUAGUUUGUGGCAUUUCUUGUAAGCUUCUACUGAGUAGCACUGUAACUAUCGUCUAUGAUGCUAGGUUUUAGCGUAACUGACCAAGAUAUUUGGAUCGUUUGCAAAGAAGUUCUGAGCUGCUGCCAUUCAAAGACUUAAUUCAGUUCUUUGUACUCUUGUUAUCUCCUUCAUAACAUUUGUGAGUAUUUGCUUUCGUUUUCAUCUCCUCCUUUUGAAGGAAGUGGAAGAAUCAAAAAGGCCAAACAAGUUCUUUUUUUGGGUGCAUCUAAUUGCCAUGGACACUUCUGACAGUGCAAAUGACCUCCGUAAGUCUUCAAAACUGGCAGCAAAUUCUUGUGUGAUCUGUAGUGUGUCGUUACUGAAUAGCAACUGCUGAUCAACUCCAAGUACAGAUUUGUAGGACAAUGCCCUCUUGUAGAAGGACUCUGUAAAUUUGUAGUUAGAGCCAGAAUCAGGGUUUAGAAACCCCAGAGGAUCAGUUUGGCCCUUUUUUGUUCUUCUUGGACAUUGCUUUCUCAAUUCUUUUGCAAAUGCUGGUUCCAUGUUUGGGUCUGGCUUUCCUGUAUUAUUGAAAUCGUACAAACGGUCCACAACAAAACGACAGUGUGUUUUACCCA